UUUCAUAGUAAUUUUAUUCAUGAAUAUGGUCACUUAAACUUCAUUUCACCUUUGCCCAAGAAGAAUUUUGCUUCAGUUUAUUUAUUUAACACAAAAGAGAAUGUCUGGCUUAUUAUGCUUCAGAUGAUUGACACAUCUCUUGUUUGGAUCCAGAAAAUGUUAUUUAAAAUUGCAGAAGGGUACUAGGAGCUUGUGAAACUUCAUUCUUAUAACAGUAAAGAAGCUUGUGUUUAACUAUUCAUUUUAAUUGUAAUCUUUAAGACUUCAUAGCUUUUUUUCUUUCUUGAAAAGCAUUGCUGUUAAUAUAGGCAUUUUAAACUGUUUUAUUUAGACAAAUUGUUGUCUUAAAAUUGUAUGUACACAGUUGCUCCUAUUGCGUUUCAAAGAUUAAAGUCAAAAUAUGGCUUUACAUGUUUACAUCUUGCAAAAUUACUCCUUCAAGAGGCUUUAAAAUACCAAAUAUGAAAUACAAAUUUGUGCACGAUAGUGUGGUUAGAAUUUUAACAUACAUCAAAAGAAAUCCUUCCAGAGAGGUCAUGAGUUCAACUUUUAUAUGUUCCUGUUUAAGUUAUAGGUGCACUAUGUAAAAUGUCCCCCUUUUUGAAAAAAGUUAAGAACCUAGAAACUGAAUAGCACGAAAAACUCUUUGUGGGACUCAAUAAUUCAUCUGGAAAGGGCUUUGUGUCUGUCUUUCAUGUUUAUCACUGUUUUUAGCUUUCUUGGAGGUGGGAAGAGCUUAUAGUUAAGGGCCCAUUAUCAGGGAAAAGGAUGCAGGAAGUCCAAAAUAUUUAUAUUUGUUCGUGGCACAUGGACAGAAGAUGGUUCUCAGGAAAAGGGCUUUCUGAUUGAUUGAAGACAUGCUGGCGUAUUUUAAUAGCUUCUUCUGUCCAAGAGAUAGCAUCAUCUUUGUCCUUAUCGCUGCUCUGAAACUUACUUUAAACAUUCUCCCAUGCUCCUCCAAUUAGAUGCUUCACUCUCUUGGCUUCCUGUGUCCUCGCUGCAACUCAUCUCAUUUGUUUGCAUUCUCAUCUUUGUCAGCAGGUUGGGUGAAGAAGAGGCAUAUAACAGAUAAUUGAAGGGACAUGCUUUGCAGCUUCAAAUUCAUCUGCAUGGCAUCCAGCCACAGCCACACGGUGAUGGCGAUAAAAUGUGGAUGUGGGAAACAUCAGCUUCCACUUUGCAAAAGCUUAAGAGCCGGCAAUUGAUUGAAUGGAAUGAGAAGAUGAAGAGAAUUAGAAGUGAUAUUCCUAAGGUGUUCUGCAGACCAACACACCAGACAGAAGACAUGGAUUAAGGUUACUGAAGGCAGAUUACUAACGUGGCCUUGAAGGGGGCGGGGGCGGUGGAAUGCACUCGAUGGAAUGUCUGUUGCUUUCUUUUCUACAAAAGAAGAAAGAAUGAAAAAAAAGAGAGAAAAGAAAAAGAAACAACACACACACAGCAUCGGAUGAAUUUUAGAGUUGCUGACAAUUCAGAAACAUGAAGGAACAAGGAGAGAAAAAAAGUGGACAAUGUCCUGGACCAAAGUACGAAAGAGGUGUUUUGAGAAAGGGAUGCCAUAAGAAAUAGCAUAAGAGUCAGUAAAUAUUUGGGGAGAGAUGGAGUGGGAAUGGAGGGAGGGAAGGGAAGAUGGAGAGACGGAGGGAUUGUAGGAGACAAGCAGCAUGAUAUCUCAGGCUUUAGGAAAUAGAUUGCUGGGGUUUACAAAAAGGGCAGGCCACAUUCCAAGGUCAAGAAAGGCAAAAGUUCAUGUGGCUCACCAGACAAUCUUUGAAAAGUAGAAAUCCUAACAAUUUAAUCACAAAUGAGCGUACUAGAGAAGUGAAUGCAGUAUUGACAUUUAGCAAUGCAGCCACAAAGACUCACUCUCCAGACAGCAUCCAGUUAUAGGGCAUCCGCAGAAAUAGAAGGAAACCUGACUCAGCUAGAGGAGGGAGGGAAACAUGGAGGAAUGUCAAGUCGGCUGAGUACAAUGUACAUUUGAAAACACUGCUACAAGGGUUUGUAACUUCUGAAACUAACUUCAUCUACAGUUGCUUCCAUAGAUAGAACCCCUGACUAAUAUGAAAAUGCUUUGCAUGAUACUUUCAUAAUAUGUUUAUCAGCAAGGAGAAAUGUUUCCAAGAGUGACAUGAUAGAACAAGGACAAUCUGGAGCUCAAGUCAUGUGAGCUAAAAAACUGUAAAGAAAAACCCAUUGGUUUGUACAGGGGUAAAGCAUCGAGUGAAUUAAAUAGUAAAAGCCUGGAAGAUCAAAGAGCAUGAGAGUUGUAAGAUUGGCUUGGAAAGGAGAAUGAUGAGAGGCUUAUGAAAUACCAACAGGUCAUUGACCCUGAUUUUAAGGGGAAAUAGUGAGAUUCCUUAAUAUUUACUGUUUACUAAAAUACUGUCAAAUUCUUGCUGGCUUUUAGGAACACUAACCAUAAUGCUUUGUGAGAACCUAUGUAGAAAUGUAGUGUUACUGGAACCAACUUUGACUUAUUGCUAGCCACACAUUCCCUUCCCAAAUGAGGCGUAUGGAGUGAUAGGCAGGAAAGCUGAAGUUGAAGUAUAUCUUUGGUUUCAAAAGAAAUUUAUUGGACAGAAUAAUUUAAGUAAUUCUGGGUCAGACAGAAAAUGUUAAGUUGCAUUAACUUAUCCAAGAUAUGCUUCUAUCCCACACUGAUGGUUGAAAAUUUUUUAUUUAAUCCUCAGUAGUCUUGUACUGUAUUUCACCUGAACCAACAGGACAAUUUUUUGUUCCCUGGAAUUUAAGAUAACACAAUAGUGUCUUGACCUGUGUACUAGGGAGAGAUGAACUCUUAGCUGGCCAUUCUUGGAUUCUGUGGUCUUUCGUGGCAUGUUGUCCUCCUUUGUGUCUUAGUACUUUCGGUUUCAUACACACUAUUCUGGAGGGAGCAGAUCAGGUGCUCCUAGUAAACUGUAGAUAUUCAAUGAUUCAGAACUGUCUGAUGUCCCCACGGGAUAUGUGGCAGGAAGUAAACAACAGCAUUUAGUCUUGCUAGUGCUGUUGACUAUGAUAGCAGACAGCAGAGCAUUCAUUGUUCAUGCUCCUCUUUGCUGGGACCUUCUUAUUGCCUUCUGCUCUACUCCAGUUCCUCCCUGUAGCUGAUGAUGAAGGUGGAUUCCUGGACGGCAAGGUUUGAAUUGAUCCAUCUUUUCCUAAUUGCUAUGGGGAGUGCGGGUUCCCUAAGUUCACAAUUGCUGCGCUUCUGCAGAACACACGGUCCUCAGCUGAAGGAAACCAUAUCAAACGUGCCGGGAGCAUAAGCCAGACUUUCAGAGGUUCAAGGUCAACUCAAUUUCGAGAAGGAAUGUGCAUCUCAGGGCUACUGAGCAGAGCCUUCAAUGCCAAUUUAAUGCAAGUACUCUUCAUCCCGGAACACUAGAAGGCCAGACAUAAAGCUUUGACUUCAAGCCACACACAAAACAUGUGAUUCCAUAUGGGCUUUUGCUGCAUGGUAGCUGUUGAAGGCUUACGUGUGCCAGUUAAAGACAGCUUGAAGGUAACCACUUGAAAGUCAGCAUCAAACAAAGGAGAAAUCAAACCUUGCAUCUGGGCUCUCCAGCCUCCAAAAUUCACAUAUCAGAAGGAUGUGGGAUUGUCAGUAUGAGAAGGUGAAGCAGGCCAGGAAUAAUUUCCAGAGCUCUGCUUCCAGCUCCCUGAUACCUCUCCACCUGGGUAAGCCAUCUGAGCCGGGCAUGAUGACCCUGCCAUCUGCUGCAUCCCUCUGGGUAGCAGCCGGCCUUUUGCAUAGGUUUUUCGCUGGAGGAGAUCUGUUGGCAGCUCUGGGGACCUUCUGAACUCACCUGAGGAGGCUCCGAGGCCUCUGUGGAAGAAUGUGUUUUAAGAACAAGGUGAAAGG
rnacentral:sRNA from 1 species